UACGAAGGGUGCUAGCGUUGUUCGGAAUCACUGGGCGUAAAGCGCGCGUAGGCGGCUUGUCAAGUCAGGGGUGAAAUCCUGAGGCUCAACCUCAGAAUUGCCUUUGAAACUAGCAAGCUGGAGUGUCGGAGGGGAUAGCGGAAUUGCUAAUGUAGCGGUGAAAUGCGUAGAUAUUAGCAGGAACACCGGUGGCGAAGGCGGCUAUCUGGACGACAACUGACGCUGAGGCGCGAAAGCGCGGGGAUCAAACAGG
rnacentral:rRNA from 1 species